ACAAAUGUACUUCUUUCAUUAGCUCUCACUCAUGACCUAUGAACUGUGUAACUUUUGAUUGAUGUUCUACUUUAUAGUUCUUUUGUUUAACCUCAAAAAAGUUUGAUUUGUGUUGUUUCAGCAGAUAUUGAUAUUGACUGCAACUGGAAAAAUUUCGUUUGCUCAACUGUCGCAUGUAUCGAUAAUCUUAACUAACUCCAGAUCCUUGCCCUAGUUUUAAAUUUUUUGCACUAUGAAUUAGGAUACAUGUAUACACCAUUUGCAACUUGGCUGCCAUAGGAAGGCUUCAAUAUUUCUUGAAACAACACAUGUCAAUAUUCCUUUACUUUAGGAAAUUUGGAAGAGAAUUAGUUCUCAAAUUUUGCAACCUAGCUUGGAUGAGUUAAUACUUGGUAAAGAAUUGUGAAUAUUUUAUUAACUUACAGUAGUGGUGCAAAUAAAUUACGUUUCGGAGAUAAAAAUGUUUAUCCAUGUGAUGCUCUUGCAAUAUAUCCGCAUUAUAUGUUUAUCCAUCAGUUGCAGGCGAAGCAAAUACACGAGUAACUAUUUUCCCUCCUGCAGUAUUCUGCCAUAUUGGAAAGUUCAAUUUCGUAACCAUGGUUAUGGACACACCUCCGUCACACCUCUUUAUUGCUCCAAUCAGAGCUUGCGUGUAGCUUUCCCAGAAUGCCCCUGCAAUCGUAAAUUAGUUCAUCUUCACUUCAUAUUUCCAUGUGAAACACAAAUGCCCCGUUUUUCUCCUUCCAGUAGCCGUAAGAGUUCUAUUUUGUAUUCGAAAUCUUGAGCUAGCCUUUCGUAGGGUGGAGUUUUUCUUGCAAGUCUUUACAACCGACUUCAACUCAUUCAGAAGAGUGCUAGCAACAGUUUUGAUGUGCAGUAUAAUGUAUAUUGAAAUGAUCUGAAGGUACAAUUUUGGACCGAGGUACUUGUGUAAUGGACACAAUGCCACACAUGUCUGAUUCACACAGUUUCAAUUGGUGCUAAAAUAUGCAAAAGGACUAGUAUAUCAGCUUGUAAGCAUCAUGCUCAUAACUUUGUGUAAAUUAGCUCAGGAAAGUGUUAAAAUGGUAUGUUUGAAGUAAAAUAUUGAUUUGAUGCAAAACACAAUCAGUUAUCUUUAGUUUUAUGAUUUCCUAAGGUAAUGGCAUCCAUAAAGAUGCAUAUUUAUUAUUGAUUGUAACAAUGCUUCAAAUAGAUGCCCAAAGUGGGUUCUUUCACUGAUGGUAUUUUUUGAUAGACAUACAUUUUAAUUCGCAGUCUUAAUAACUUUUACAAAAAGGAACAUUGAAUAUUGAAAGCCCUAAUAAUACCAUCAUCAUACAGAAAAGAAUUUGUGGUAGCUUAAUUCUUUUUAACCACUUGUUAAAUUAAUGUAAUUAUAAGUU